rnacentral:rRNA from 1 species
GUGAAAAUGCUUAGAUAUGAUAUAGAACACCAAUAGCGAAGGCAGCUUACUACGCAGUUAUUGACACUGAGGCUCGAAAGCGUGGGGAUCAAACAGGAUUAGAUACCCUGGUAGUCCACGCCCUAAACUAUGGAUACUCGACAUCAGCGAUACACUGUUGGUGUCUGAGCGAAAGCAUUAAGUAUCCCACCUGGGGAAGUACGUCCGCAAGGAUGAAACUCAAAGGAAUUGGCGGGGGGUCCGCACAAGCGGUGGAGGCAUGUGGUUUAAUUCGAUACGCGAGGAACCUUACCUGGGCUAGAAUGCAUUUUGAUCGUGGGUGAAAGGCUCAUUUUAUAGCAAUAUACAUUUGUAAGGUGCUGCAUGGCUGUCGUCAGCUCGUGCCGUGAGUGUGGUAUCCGCACGAGCGCAACCCCUAUCAUUAGUUG